UUAGUGGCGAACGGGUGAGUAACACGUGGGCAAUCUGCCCUUCACUCUGGGACAAGCCCUGGAAACGGGGUCUAAUACCGGAUAACACUUCCUGCCGCAUGGUGGGGGGGUUAAAAGGCUCCGGCGGUGAAGGAUGAGCCCGCGGCCUAUCAGCUUGUUGGUGGGGUGAUGGCCUACCAAGGCGACGACGGGUAGCCGGCCUGAGAGGGCGACCGGCCACACUGGGACUGAGACACGGCCCAG
rnacentral:rRNA from 1 species